rnacentral:rRNA from 1 species
AACGAACGCUGGCGGCAGGCCUAACACAUGCAAGUCGAGCGAGGACUUCGGUUCUAGCGGCGGACGGGUGAGUAACGCGUGGGAAUGUGCCCUUCUCUACGGAAUAGCCCUGGGAAACUGGGAGUAAUACCGUAUACGCCCUAUUGGGGAAAGAUUUAUCGGAGAAGGAUCAGCCCGCGUUGGAUUAGGUAGUUGGUGGGGUAAUGGCCUACCAAGCCGACGAUCCAUAGCUGGUUUGAGAGGAUGAUCAGCCACACUGGGACUGAGACACGGCCCAGACUCCUACGGGAGGCAGCAGUGGGGAAUCUUAGACAAGGGGGGCAACCCUGAUCUAGCCAGGCCGCGUGAGUGAUGAAGGCCUUAGGGUUGUAAAGCUCUUUCAGCUGGGAAGAUAAUGACGGUACCAGCAGAAGAAGCCCCGGCUAACUCCGUG